UAAAACUUUCAACAACGGAUCUCUUGGUUCUGGCAUCGAUGAAGAAAGCACAGAAAAACGAUAAAUAAUGUGAAAUGCAGAAAUCAGUGAAUCUUAGAGUCUUUGAACACACCCUGCGCCCCGUGGUAUUCCGCGGGGCACGCCUGUUCGAGGGUCAG
rnacentral:rRNA from 1 species